ACUCAAAGGAAUAGACGGGGGCCCGCACAAGCAGUGGAUUAUGUUGAUUAAUUCGAUGCUACGCGAAAAACCUUACCGGGGCUUGACAUGGAGAUGACCGCCGUAGAGAUACGGUUUCCCCUUCGGGGGCAUCUCACACAGGUGGUGCAUGGUUGUCGUCAGCUCGUGUCGUGAGAUGUUGGGUUAAGUCCCGCAACGAGCGCAACCCCUAUUGUUAGUUGCUACGCGAGAGCACUCUAGCGAGACUGCCGUUGACAAAACGGAGGAAGGCGGGGACGACGUCAAAUCAUCAUGCCCCUUAUGUCCCGGGCUUCAAACGUAAUACAAUGGCGUUUAACAGAGGGAGGCAAUACCGCGAGGUGGAGCAAAUCCCUAAAAGGCGUCUCAGUUCGGAUCGUAGGCUGCAACCCGCCUGCGUGAAGUCGGAAUUGCUAGUAAUCGCGGAUCAGAAAGCCGCGGUGAAUACGUUCCCGGGCCUUGCACACACCGCCCGU
rnacentral:rRNA from 1 species